CCCAUUAUCAGAGAAACAGUGUGGUGGCCAGCAUUCCUUUGGCACCUCUGAGUUAGCUGCCUACCGAGGACUAUUUUCUCUGCUCCUGUAAUCUCUUAUAUGCUUUUUUCUCCUGUGUCACUCUUCAUGCAUGGGAGAUCUAUACAAAUCAGCACAGCCCUUACGAAGCUGCUGGUGACUCUGAUUAGAAUCACUGAAAAAAAAUAAACGAUCUUUGCCAGGAGCCUUCCCUGAGAAACACCAGUUGAGGAGCAUGUUUGUGUAGAGAGCUUAGAUACACAGGCUUGGAGAAUUAGUCAAGUGGAACCAGUGUCUGUGGAGCCUGAUGUGAAAAAAUAAAGGAUCCCACCCCUGGCUGCUGUUGAUGUUAUGCCUGUAUGCCCAUGGCAACUUACUCUUCAGGAUGUCCACUGUGUCAUGUUGUUCUUGGAUGGCUGGAAUGGAGAAUGCUUUUAUAGCUAUUUGCUUCACUUGAGUGAAGAUGAAAUGGUUCCAGUUGUGUAAAUAGCUCCGGGUGCUCUUCCAGC